GUAACCAUACAUCCAGCCUGAGUCAAACAAAUCACUUUCUAGUUCCUGUGGUGUUGUCAGAAAAAAAGUCCAGAACCCAGAAGCCAAUUAUUUCGGAGUUUUGUGUUUUGUUUUGUUUUUCUUUCCUCUAGCAUCAAGUUGCUGUGCCAAAGCUGUGUUGGCUGAUCAGGGUUAACAGAAUUAGAAAGUGAUGAAAUGUUGAUAAAACCCUGGUGAUGAGUCAUUAGCAUACAAAGCAAUCUGGUGACUAAGAACACAAGUUUUGUAUUCCCAUUUUUCAAGCACAUGUAUAGGUAGGAGCAAUUAAAAAUCCCCAGAAGAAAUCUGUCUCAGAGCAGAUUCUUUGCCUUUGAUUAGUGCUGUGGAAGGUGCUGACAAAUUGUGCAGUGCUUCUUUUUCAUUUUAACUGAAAAUCCCAUUGCCUACCCACUUGUGAAGGCUGGGUUCUGCUCUCUCCUGGCUCUGUGGCCGGUUGUAUUUCCACUUCACCCUCUGCUUCCAAAUCUGUUGGAUGUCUGAGCUCAGGAAGGAAACUCUGCAUGUGCUUGAGAAAGGGGGGAGCCAGAGGCAGGUGAAGUUUAUUCCCCUGAAUUGCUCUUGAAGGCUCGUUCAAGAUGUCAGAGUCACUGGUGACUCACAAAACGAUGCCAGUGGAGCAACAGCAAAGCAUCCGAUUCUGUAGGUCACAGCCAGAUCUGUUACCAGCCCAUGGCCUACUCCACAUGGGCACCAUGUUCUGUUUAAUCUCUGGUAAGCAAUCAUGUAAUUACAAAGGGCUUCCUACAAACAGGUUCCUUGAGGAGAGGCCAAAGGGCAGAGAAGGGAAUCUGUUCUCCACCUCACCUCUCCCAGCACCACCACGUUUAUGGGCUUUGUAUGGAGGUGCAGGACCCCUGUAGCUAAUACCGUGCUGUCUGCAGUAUUUGAAGACCUGAGAUCCACUUUCACUUGCACUAUAUUGAAGUGGUGGUACUUCCACCAGUCAGCCCAGUGCUCUGACUGCUAGCCGUGGGGAUUUCUGUGUCUUCUGCACCCCACAGGAGUUCUGGACCAGGACCCCACAGCCCGUUGCAGGAGCUUUUUGUCCUGAUCUUUCCGUUUGGCCUGUCUGAGGGAAGUUCAGUGUUCCCAGUCCUUGACUGUUGUGUUAACUGGAUUUACUGCCCCAAACAAUAAUUGCUGCCUUUCUGUGAUGCAGUUUAGAGACUGUGUGAAUUCUGUGAACUUUAGGAAGGGUGGGUCUUCCAGGUCGUUAGUCAGCUGUGCCUCCUCCCACGUGGAGAAAUGGGGUGAUGAGUGCUUCCAAGAAGCUUGAAGGAAGGUGAUCUUCAGGUGUUGCAGUGUGCCCUUGGGGCUGUAAUGAAUGUAAAUACUGACAUCUACCAAUUCUCUUUUAAAAAUCUCUUUAGUGCUAAAGAGGCCCAAACUGUAAUCCAACGAAGAGGGAAAUUGGCCCUGAGCAGGCCUGGAGUGACACAGCCCUGUUCCUCAGUCCCUAAGUUUAUAAGAAUGGGAAAAGUGAGGCUGGUGGAGAUGCUUUGUGCUGCUUGCAGGUGGCUCAGGUAUCCUGGAUUUUUCUUCCAGCCCAACUAGCUGGGUCAGGUGUCUCAGACAAAGGAGCCUGGCCUCAUUUCCAUCGUGCUUUCACAAAGGAAUCCCAGGCCUUGGUGUGCGGCUGCUUCUGCUGCUGGAGCAUCAGAUUUCCUCAGUGCACCAGUGGUUCAGCGCUGCCACAGUUUGUUUUCUGGCUGCUUAAACUGUGAGCUGAAAGCACUGACCUCAGCAUUGAUUUCUGUCCCACCAAAACCUGGGCAGGUCGUACCGUAUCCCAGAGCCUGCUCCUCAUUUCCUUCUGUUAUUCCAAACCUGCCUCAGUCCAGGCUUGCUGGUAUUCCCUCUGCCCUGCUUCCUCCUGGUUCAGCCUUGGAGAAAUUUUCUUCUGUGCCAGUUCUUUCACACAACUUUAUCCAUAUUUGACCUACUUGUCAUUUUUGUAGAGUCGUCUGAAAACAGCAGGAGAGGGAGAGGGAUGAUGGAUCUGAGGGGUGCUGGCUCUUGAUAAAAAAAAACAUUUGCAGAACAGCGGACACCUCACGCAAAUCAAGGCUGUGGUCUGCAGACAAGUGUCUGAAUGAGACAGAGCUGUUUUUGCCAUGCUGCAAAUACCAGGAGCGUGUAUUGCGUGGUGUCCUGGGGCUCUGUGCAGGAGGAAGGGAGAGGCCCCAGGGCCCCGGUGUCACCCGCACCUCAGCUGAAUGCAAUCCCGCACUGCCAGGCAGGAAGAGAUGCAGGGGCUGGGAGAGGAGCUCUGGUGUGGAAAAGGCUGGGAGCUGUGGCUCCAGGGUUUUCCUGCUCAUCAGGAACACCCCGAGGGUUUCACUACAGUGGGAAUAACAGCUAAAGAUUUAAGCGAGGGCUAACAACAAGGAGAAUAAAAUAAGACUGCGAGAAAAGCAAGCAGUAAAGAUUUCUCAGCUGCAGAAUACUCCGUAACGCUGCAAAACAACAUUGGCUCACUGCAGACCGAAAUCCGGAGCCGCUCAGAGAUUCCCCAGUCAUUGACUGGUUUUAAUGUAUUCCUCGCAGCCAGCCAGCGCUCCGCUUGCGGGCACGGCAGCCAACGCGCCCCCGCCAAUCACCGCCGCUGGAGCCGGGCUGCUCCUGCGAGGAACGUGAAGGAAGCCGAUGGCUGCGGAGCAAUGCAGACAAAGCAGGAGUGAGAGGCAGACAAAAGGGAUGGAGUCCCAGGAGAUGUGAUCCACCCCGUUAAAGGAGGCGUCCGUAGCCUCUGCAGCUGUGUUGAUGCUGCUUCGCGCAAGAGGCACCAGCCUCUCGUCCCCCCCGGGAGAUCGUUACGGCAUUAAUUGCCUCUGCACAAAACCCGGCCGUGAGGCUGCUCCUCGGCAGCCGCCCGCUCCUGCCUCCAGCCCUCGCCGGUUCGGAGAUCCCGGCCAGCAGGAGCGGUGCCCCUCCAGCUGGCCCCCGGGGAUCAGAUGUCACCUGUACCCAAUGAAGCAGAUCCCGAAGUGCCACGAAUGGAUCCCAGGAUUCUUAUUUUCCUCCUCUACGUGAUGAUCCUUCACGAGCUGGUGAGUGGCUGGAUGGAGUACCAAAAGCAGAUAGCCAAGCCGAAGAAGCAGGCGGGUCCGGUGUGGUCUUCUAGCAGCGCCACCAGACUGAACCACUCCAGCUUCUCCAGGCCGCUGGUCCACUCGGUGCGCAGGGAGCGCUACCGGGACUGGAGGAAACCAGGACGGAUCAUCCGGAAGGCGUGAGGACGCCCCAAGGUCUGUCGGGGAGCAUGGGGAGAGCUUCCCGAGCCCAAAGACACCACCCCUCAUGCGGCCCGCACCGACCACCGUGCAGCAGCCGGUGUGAGAGCAUCCCACAGGCACCGUGAGCUGCGCCCUGCAGCUUUCUCCUUCCCCUGAGCCUGGUGUUGGUGAGAAGGAAAGAGCCCCUUCCUCACGGGGACCUGGCACUGCAUGGCGAGGGGCAGGGGAGAUGCCCCCAGCCAGCAGCAGUGGCCCCAGAUGAGGUUUUUGCACCCAGCGCAGCGAGGUGACUUUUCUUUCUUCUUCCCAAAGGGCUGAGUAGAUGGAGAGCAGAUUUCUUUGGGGCAGAAUGAAAUGAAUGAAAUUUGCUCCUUGGGCAACUGUGGGAAGCCUCCAAAGGGUUUCAGUCUCCUCUCGCCCACCCGAGGGCUGCAUGGCUGGUGAGCAGCGUUGCCCAAAGUGGUGGAAGGCUUUGGUGUCCCGCUGGUGACCCGUCCCCAGAGCCCCCGAGGGACGUGCUUCCACGGGGGCACCCAAAGAGAUGGCACCCAUCGCUUCGGAAGUGCUGGCUCCCUGUUCAGUCUCACCCACGGGGGUCUGUACGUUCUUUCUGCUUUUCGUCACGCUGUUGAGUGGGUGGCUGUGGGCUGGAGGAAGGAAAGCACCCUGAACUGGUGACUCAGAGUUAUGCCACUGAAGGCAAUUUGCUGCAAUGACCUUGUAAUUAGAUUUCUUUGCAGCAUUCCCAGCAGUCGAGGCAAAUGUAAAAGUGACUUUCUAAUGAGCAGAUAGAUGGCAAAAGAAUACAAUAUUGCUCUUUUAUUAGUCUGUGAUUUAGACAUAAAAUUAGAUUUCAGAGGCAAGAGUCGGUUCGUGCGUCCUGCCGCCCUGCUUACAGUCAUGUGUGGAACUGGGAAUCUCUGAGCGCUGGCAGGAUUCUGACACCAGGCUCUAACAGCAAAUGUUCAGGGCAAAACUGACUGCCUUGUUUGCUGAACAUAACGUUUGGCUCAAACACAGCCUGUUUUUCUCGUUGCCAACCAUUUAUAAGCCUGACUCAGGCUCGCAGACGCAUUAUCCAGAAGUAGAUAGGGAAGGGACUCGGAACCAGGCAUUCCGUAUGCUGAAGUAGCCACCUGCUGCAUUUGCAUGCCCGUCUGCUUCCUGGCUGUGUGCGAGGCGCUCCUGCGGUGGGGGCUGCGUUUGCUGAAGCUUGCAGGAGGCACCUGGGCGAGGGCAGAGCUCUGCGCCCGAACAGGGCACCCGGAGCCUAAGCAGGAGGAAGCUGGGGGCACCCUGCUCCUGAGGUACCCGUCCUCUGCCCUGGGCAAGCUGGCAAGCAGCUUGGUUGAAGGGCUCUGCUCCUCCGGGAGAUGAAGUUCUGGCCUUGUGAGAUGAAGUUUGUGUCUUCAGUUCUGAGAUUUUUUUUGAGAAAGGAGCAAGAAGUAGUAAGGAACCUGCUUUCUGUGCACCCAAAAGGAUAAACUUACAAAGAUGUGCCUCAGCUCUGGGACACUGUGGCUAUCCCCGAGGCGUCCACUGCCUGUCCCAGUACACACAGGUGCGUCCACAAAGAACAGAACAACAAAGAGAAGGUAUUGGGGGAAAAAAUACGGUGGGAAAGCAUUUCUGGACGGUGGAGGUUUUGCUUUCCUGGCGUUCAGCCUGCCCCCAGCCCGUGGGGGAUGUGGCUGGGUGCUCUGCCUGCCCUUCUGCUGGUGUGGGGGAACUGCUGGGAGCGAUCAGCACGCAGAGCUGUGUACCUGAACUCCUGGGGUGCUGCGGGACGUGGCCGGGCUCCCAGCCUCAGCAGAGCAGGGGGACACAAACGGGACAGAGAUGUCCAAACGGCCGCACCCUUGGGAAGGGACAGGAAUGCUUUGCUUUGCUGAUCACAUGCUGGAUUUAUCCCUGUAAAUGCCCUCCUGUUUCCUUCCAAUAAACUCUUUUACAUACA